AAAAUUCUGAAAAAUUUAUGUACUAACCCCCGUGUUAUGGGCUUCGUGUAGGUAUCCUCGAUUCGCGGAAAUUCGACAGUUGACCGGGUCUGCAAAUUUCGGGCCAGACAGACCCGUUACCGGAAAAGUCUCCGAAUUGGACCGAGGUUUUGGCUAGCCCCCCAUUGUCAGACGUCCCGAGCGCGUUCCCGAAGUCGGAAUCGGCAAAGGUGAGCCGGGACAGCCUUCUUCCUCCGCCCAGCCGCCACAGUAAUUUGUCGUCAAGUUUGAAAAUGCGUAGAAGCAGGAGAGCUGCCACUGCACCAGAACCAGAUGUGCCUGACGAGGUGUCGGCACAGGAUGAGGCGCCUGCCCCGAGGAGGCAGGGUAGG